rnacentral:rRNA from 1 species
GAAAGGAUCACUCGAUGCGGGCACGGCAAACUACCACUUGUCAUUCCAGAAGGGAGGAUAAGGCUGGAGGCACCUCUUCUUGCUGCAAAGUUUGCAACUGAAUGCAACGUCACAGUCAGACACCAUAUGCCUGUGUUUAAGCGCUGGAAGGAUUACAAGGACCCAAAUGGAGAUGUACGAGAUGGGAUCUUCAGGAACUUCAUAGGCAAAAACAAGUUUCAGAUGGACGUAGAUGUUGUGCCAGUUAGGAAGGCUUGUACUGAAAUGGUGAAACGUGCGACUCGCCAACAACGAUAUAGGCUCAAGAAAGAGUUUUUUGACCCUCACCCACUCCAUUUGGUGACGAGAACUUCUCCUGUCCCCUCGAUGACUGAUGAGCAGUGGAAUGAGCUGGUGGAAAGCUGGAAGGAUCCCAAAAAGAUGGGGAUAUGUCAAAUUAACAAAAAUAAUCGAGCUCAAGUUAAGUUUCACCAAACUACUGGCGCGUGCAGCUAUCCUGUGCAUUGUGAUAAUCUGGGCGACAAAUACAAAGAUAAAGAACCCACUGCAUUGGAUUUGUUCAAGGAGUGUCACUACAGCAAGAAAAAUAAAAGCUACACUGAUGUCGUGCAAGCUGCA